ensembl:lncRNA
UUUUUUUUUUCUUUUUUCUUUUUACAGCUGCCCCUGUGGCAUAUGGAAGUUCCUGGGCUAGGGGUUGAAUUGGAGCUGCAGCUGAGGCCUAUGCCACAGUCAUGGCAACACUAGAUCCAAAAGGCAUCUGUGACCUAGGCUGCAGCUUGUGGCAACACUGGAUCCUUAACCCACUGAGUGAAGCCAAGGAUCAAACCUGCAUCUUCACAGAGACAACACUGGGUCCUUAACCCACUGAGCCACAACGGGAGCUCCACUCAUGAUAUUUAAGUAAAUGCAUGUUUGCAUAAAUAUGUCACACAUUUUAAAAAACAUUUGUUAAAGAAAGGGCAGAAAAGAGGAAGGGAGGAUGGGAGGGACGGGGGGAGGGAGGAAAAUUUGAGGAAUCUACAGACUUGGCACUUAAAACCAGAUCUGUCUACCUCAAAUCCCGCUCAUUUCCCAUGCUCUGACACGGCCAUCAAUCAAUAAACAAACCAGUCCUUGGGCUUGUGCAAGCUGGGCAAUGCAGGUAAUUAAGGAGAUUACAGUACGGUUGAGGAAGCAAAACUAGCACGCAUGUGACAGUGGACCUGAAAAACAAAAAGAAGCCACUAGCAAAGUGUUUUGUAGAAGAAUAUUGAAUUACAGAGAAUGAUGUAUGUGACAUAUUUUUAACUAAAAGCAAAUUAAGAAACAGCAUGCUUUCUAUGUGUAUAUAUACACAUAUCCACAAAGGAAAUGCAUGAAGAUUAUACAUCAAAAUGUGAACUGAUUCUAUUUGAAUGGCAUGGUCACCAGCAUUAAUUUGGUUUUUUUUAAUUUAAAUUUUCUGUAGUCAUUACAAAUUUCUUUUGCAACAUGAAAGAUAUCAUCAAAGUUACCUUCAAAUAUACACAGACGUCCAUAGGAAGCUGCAAAGUCAACCGUGAUUCCCGUAGAAAGCGCAGGCCAAUGGUCAGGGAUGGCUUCCAGAAGGAGGAGACGUCACGAACGGAUGUGGUUCAGGCAGGACGGACGACAUUUCCUCUUGUACUUUGCCCCCCAUGAGCCUGGGCCAUGGCCCCUGACCCCUCCCUGGGACCACGUCUCUUCAGGCCUCAGAUGGAGAAAUGCAGUGUGGUGCCUGGACCCUUGAGAGACCUCUCCUGCCCGACCUUGACCUAGAGGACUCCUACACACCCUCAGUUCCGAAGUGUCCUUGAAAGCAUCUUUCCCUGGAGAACCUAGGAAGAGCUCACCACUCUGCAUGGUCCAGGGGAAGCCUGGGCGAGGGAACUGGGGGCGCCAUAUGCAAUGUCGUGGAGAACAGGAGUCUGAGCCAAGCAGCCCUGGGGGAGACCAGCUCCCAGGGAUUAGCUGGGUGACCCCAGGCAAGUAACUUCCUCUCGGGUGCCUUGUCUGCAAAAUGGGAUAAUGGCUCUUGCAUGGGGCUGUUACAAGGGCAAAGUGGGAUGAGUUGUGUGAAAUGAAUGGGAACGGGUAGAAAUAUUCCAUUCUAAGCAGGAACAGUUCACAAAUGUUAGCAAGGAAUUAUCCCAAGAAGUUCACCAGGAGGAACUCCCACACCCAAUAACCGAGAAGGAAGAUACAGUGCAGUCCCUGCCUGUUCUCACCUCUGAUCCCUGGGGCGCAGGAGGUCUGGGCAGACGGCAAUCGAGAUAAUACCCCUGAGGAUGUGCCCAGAAAGAACAGAGGUGCUGCCACAAGCUGGUCACAAAGGAACCUCUCCAGAGCAGGGGUCUCCCGUCCAAGGGGAACUCCUCUGCAGAACACGUUUUCAUACGGCACACCUACUGCAUGCCAGGAACCGUAUUAUCUCUAACAUAAGCCCCUCCUGGGUAGUCACCACCGUUACCACUGAAAAAGGAGGGAAACGAGGUGCAGAAUGCUCAAGGUCACGAAGCUGGAAAACGGCCUCUUGGCCUUCUCUCUGCACCAGCCAUUUCCAGGAGGGGCCACCACCGGAAGGGCAGGUUUUGAUGCAGCGCCAGUGGUACAAUGAGGAGGGGACGAGGGGGAUUUGAGAAGCUCUCUGUUUCCCCUUGGCAGCUGUUUUUCCAUCCUCACCCCCUCCUGUGCCCUGCACCAAGCCUGUUGGUCACAGAGGCACCGCCCCACCUGCUGAGCUUUGAAAGUGCACUGUUCCCCCUGGUUUCCGAAGCUUCCAGCGCUGUUCUUUGUGAUUCGCUAAGCCCAGGGGCUUCUCCCCUUC